rnacentral:rRNA from 1 species
UACAGAGGGUGCGAGCGUUAAUCGGAAUUACUGGGCGUAAAGCGUGCGUAGACGGCUAUCUAAGUCGGGUGUGAAAGCCCCGGGCUCAACCUGGGAAUUGCAUUCGAGACUGAAUAGCUAGGGUACGGUAGAGGGAAGUGGAAUUUCCGGUGUAGCGGUGAAAUGCGUAGAUAUCGGAAGGAACAUCAGUGGCGAAAAGCGACUUCCUGGACCAGUACCGACGUAGG